GACGAACGCUGGCGGCGUGCCUAAUACAUGCAAGUAGAACGCAGUUGAGAACGGGUGAGUAACGCGUAGGUAACUGCCUCAUAGCGGGGGAUAACUAUUGGAAACGAUAGCUAAUACCGCAUACUGUGAGAUGGACGUGAGUUGUAUUAGCUAGUUGGUGAGGUAAAGGGUCACCAAGGCGACGAUACAUAGCCGACCUGCGAGGGUGGUCGGCCCAACUGGGACUGAGACACCGCCCAGGAUCCUCCGGGUGGGCGCAGUAGGGAAACUUUGGCAAUGGGCGGCAGUCCUACCGCGCAACGCCGCGUGAUUUAAGCAGGUUUUUGGAUCGUAAAACUCUGUUGUGAGAGGAGCGGUAACUAACCAGAAAGGGCCGGCUAACUACGUGCCAGCCGCCGCGGUAAUAC
rnacentral:rRNA from 1 species